GGGUGUCCCAGCAACUCGAUAGAAUGUGUCCCGAAGGUGCGAAUAACGGAUGCGUGUCUGAGCGGCCCGUAUGUACGCUUGCGGGUUAUGCAGCGCUGCUGAAAACCUCGUCGCAGCAAGAAAUUACCAAGGUUCCACAUCGGUUUUCAGCUUCCUCAUCUUCUGUGAAGCGGUACGUAAAACGAGCGUUCUGUCCAGCAUAGCUGUACCAACAGUUUUGCCACAGAGCGAGUACAUGGAGAGCGCCAUGCUGUAUCAACUACUUGCACGGCUCAAGCAAGGAGCAAGAAAUACCGUAUACCCAAAGUAGCUGCCUCACAGCGGACUUUGAAAAGAACGACAAGAAGGCACGUCGCAACUCAUAAUGCCACUUUAGAAACCUAUUGACCGAGCAGCUUCAGGAACUUCGGGUAAUGGAAGAGGGGAACAGGCGAUCCGCGCCAGCGUGCGAUGGUAACGGGAAGCCGAAGCAAAAGGUGAAUUUGCCCACCUCUGCCAGCUAUUUCGCAGGUCUCAAUGAUUUGUGUCGCCCUUCCUGAUAGAGUCCAAAACGCGCCUCUGAUGAGCUCAGUUCCUUUGAAGGGUCCAGCUUGGAGCUAGCCGGAGUGCCGUUUAAGAAACAACGCAGGAUUACAGUCCAACCCUCUAAGAAGUUGCACGUAGCGGCGCCUGUCACAGAGGAGAAACCUGAGCAGAAUGACAUUUGUAAUCUGGUAUGCGUCAUCUCGCCGGCAAUGAUGCGCGAUUCGAAAUGUGGCAAACAACCUCGUUGCGCAGUGCCUUAUGAGUAAACAAGAUUCUCUGCACCCCGGACCUCCUGUGCUUUUCACCCUCGAGUGUGGUAAGGUAGAAUGGCGUUGUGAGCAAGAUAACUGGCUGUCACCUUCAACGAUUGCAGGUCAUGAAUAUCAUUUGGCGUGGUGAGUCCGUUACUGAACUGAAUACGGUUAGUCUGCCGAAUUAGCAUGAGUCGAACAGUUUAGCAGAAUGCGUGACUAGGAGGGAGUGCAGAAAGGAUUGUCCCAUCUGUACCAAGCCACUCGGGAAGGAUGUCAGCACAACCAUCUUGACCAAGAAAAAAAUUCUCAAAAAAAGCAUGCAAAGGCAGCAGAAGAAGCUCGCACAGGCUGUAGCGGAAGCUCUGGUCUGACGGCUCCGCGCAGAGUCGCAAAGGCGAAGCCUGAGCAUUUGCUGUGCUGACCACAAACGCAUGUUUAUGUCUAUAGAAGAGGAGCCUGCGAGGUGCCGUUCGCUGUGGGCGCCGUAUGUCCUGUAUUUUUUCUAGGAUCUAUUCGAGCUGAGGGCCUUUCCAAGCUUUAAAAAUUAACGGCAGGCAGGCAAUACUUGCUUGCAGACGGCCGUG
rnacentral:lncRNA from 1 species